UUUCAAAUCUGAAUUUAUGUACUUUGUAGGCGUGUUUAUCUCACAAACAGCAUUCAGAAAUGGAAUAUAAUACGCGUCUGUCUAGCUUCGAGUACCAUCGAGUUUCGUAAGUAGUAGGGAGCUACCAUGAUCAGACCAGUCGAGUGAAACGUUAGUCUGUCAGGGGAGAAACCUAUCGACAAGAUGAGUAGCCCCAAUGGUCGGACUAAUGGAAACUGAAAUCCGGAUCCAACAGUCCGAAAAGACAAACAACAGCCUCUAUUAUCCGCCGAUGAAGCCGAGGAGGCUGCAAUCGUCGUAAAAUUAUCCAAAGGGCACAGAAUAAACAACUGGAUCGUUGGUAAAAGGGUAUCGCUGAAGAAUGUUUACAGGCUGGUAAAACGAGAUCGAUCGCGUAGGACCGGUGAUCCAUGCAACAGCGACUUCACCGCGGAUAAAGAAAACGCGUCGAUCAGCCGCGAUCGGCACUGGCUUUAUUACAUCCC
rnacentral:misc_RNA from 1 species